rnacentral:lncRNA from 1 species
CUAUACUUUAUCCAUUACACUUGGACCUAUUCCCGCUUGCCCACCAAGUCAAACCAAAACUUUUAUACCACUUGGUUGAGGGCGUCCAGAGGAGCACAUGAAAACAAACAACAACAUACUAAUAUCAAAAUCAUGGUCACAUCUCCAUACAAAACCUCUUAAAUCUAUAGUAUUAUUAAUCAAAGUAGCUCCCCCUUUUCCCUUAUCAUUUGAAAAUAAUGAGAGUUCAUAAAUCAAUAGUAUUAAUUAUUAUGUUCUUUCUUUUAAUACUACUAAUACUCCAUCUUUCAAGUUGGAGGCACAUAUCUUUUGAUGAUAAAGAAGAUAUCAUGGAAGAAAGAAGAAGAAGAAUGAAGUUCCCUUUUCCAUUUCCACAAGCCUAUGAAGAAUUCAAAGACAAAAGGGUGAGUGGAUUUCAAAUUGUUUCACAUACAUCUACUCCAGGUGGACCAAAUCCACUUCAUAAUUAAGGAACUAGUAGUGGUUCUUAAAGUGGAAUUAAUUUCAUUUUCCUUGGUAUUAGUUUGGAUCAAUAAUAAGGUACUUGAAAAUUGCUUGUAUUUGUGAGGUUCAUCGGCAUAUAACAUAGUGAAAGAACUUAUAAUGUAUAGUGUGUCCAUAUUAUAUAAGUUGGUUACUUCACUUGCAAUGUUCUUGUGAUCUUUUUAUCUAAACUUUAUAUAUCAUCCACAAUAGAUGUUUCAAAUUGCGAUCAUCUUCUCCUAUGUUUAAAGUUUUGAGAGUUUGAUAAAAUCAUGAUGAGUCACUGUAAUUGAAAUAUAUAGUCUAUAACUUCCCUGACUAACUCCUUAAUUAUACUAUAUCAUAACAAUACAUCCUCCUCAAAAUGACUUUCCCGAAAGUUGAAAUCUACUAUAUUGUUUUGAAUCCAUUUCAUUUAAAUUGGUAUUUUCUCCAUAAUUAUUAUUCUAUAAAGAAUGUUUACAAUAACUAGUCUUGGUAUAUUUUUUUUAAAAAAUACAUGUAUAGCUGCAGCAAGGAGUCG